UACGUAGGGUGCAAGCGUUGUCCGGAAUUAUUGGGCGUAAAGAGCUCGUAGGCGGUUUGUCGCGUCGACUGUGAAAACCUGGGGCUUAACUCUGGGCCUGCAGUCGAUACGGGCAGACUUGAGUUCGGUAGGGGAGACUGGAAUUCCUGGUGUAGCGGUGAAAUGCGCAGAUAUCAGGAGGAACACCGGUGGCGAAGGCGGGUCUCUGGGCCGAUACUGACGCUGAGGAGCGAAAGCGUGGGGAGCGAACAGG
rnacentral:rRNA from 1 species